rnacentral:tRNA from 1 species
GGAGCUGUGACUCAACAGCAGAGCAUCUCCUCGGCAUGCAGAAGGUCCCAGGGUUCAAUCCCUGGAAUCUCCA